UUUACUCAGUUUCAAUAUAGAAAAAUCUAUAUUUGAUUGUUUCGUGUAAAAUACAUACACGAUAUUUUCUAUCGGUCAGGUGAAUUCAUAAAAUUUGCUUAUUUAAUAUACUAAUUAACGUUUACGUAACUAAACCAUAACACGCAUAUUUAAUAUAACCAACGUUCGAUGACGUCAGGUAAGCGCUCUUAAAAUGGCGUCGGAUAAACGAAAUAUUACGAAAUUCAGUAAAAAUUGCACUGUCGGUCAAUCGGAAACUUGGUCCGAAAUUACUGGACGAACCAGAGGAAUGAUUUGUUCUAGUUUUGGGGGUGGCGACGUUCGAUUAUAGAAAAUCUCGCUUCCAACCCCUUGUGGAGAAUGGAAACCGAAGACAGAGGGUGAUAGGGAGUCUCUCGAUCCCAAUCCGUCGUCAUUCCGGGGAUAGAAACGUAAAAAAUGCAGAUAUUUAGCCUUAAAAUUCAAAAAGAAUCCAUGACGUCAAUCGCAUUGGAAUUCGUUACGCGCUUUUCUAAUCUCCAUAGAAACGGCAACAAUUGCUGUUUCUAUUGUUGCAACACGAUUUUGCGUCACUUUGCACGUUUUUCGCUUGCUGUGAGGACGUGUGCGCUCUUUGCUCCUGUUUUCGCUGUGUUUUUUGCCUUCUUCAGUGUUCUUUUCUACCGGAACGUGGUUUUAAGAAGACUUGUGGACGCCGACGUUAUACCAAAAUGAAGAUGUUGGAGUGGUUUCGCCGGAGGUUCCGACGGAAGAAUGCGGUGGCGCCGGAGGGAGGGGGUUCCUCGAACGGCUCCGGUGAGACGUUCGAGGACCGUGGGUUCGACCGUGUCUCUGUCGAAUCGAUUAGUUCGGUGUCGUUGGAGACCGUCGAACAAGAGGCAGUGGGUGGUGACGACCUUCCCCCAGUGCGUGUGGCGUGGGACUCUCCCGGAGGCGGGAGAGUUCUGAGUCCAUUCCACUUGGUCAAUGUCGUCAGGGAGCAGCCGGCCACAAGCCUUGUUGUGGAAGACGUAGAGAGUGACGUGUUCUCUUGGAGUUCGACGUCACUUUCUACUUUCGCGUGGUCUGCCUCUCUGUCGUCGCCAUCGUCUUUCCGAAGUCGGAACGGGGAAGCAUCGGAGGAGAGCGCCGCCGAAGUCGAGGAACCGCGGGUUUGUUGCUACGGGUGGCUACGGUUCCCUCGGCCUAGGCGGUGAUCCUCUUCGAUUUUCCCAACUCGUCCUUUUCACCCGGAUGCGACAUUCUGACCGGAUUCGACACUUUCACCCGGACAUGACCUCUUUACUCGGAUGUGGCCUUCUCUUACCCGGAUGUUCUCACGGACUUGUCUCCCGAACGUGACACUCGAUCGACGACAACGGAUUUGACUUCCGAUUGUGACCACCCGGACUUGACACGCUUCUUCACCGGACGCGACAUUCGGCCGACCUUUCUUCCCAAACAGCUGUUACGAGGAUUGAGCUUCAGGUUAGGUUAGGUUAGGUUAGGUUAGGCUAGGCUAGGUCAGGUCCUUCGCUCUCCUCAUGACACUGUUCGGGAAGAAAGACUAUCUGAUAAAGGAACAUUUGGGAGGGAGAAGGAUCUCCCAAAUGUUCCUACAAAACACAAAGUUGAGGAGGGAGAGUGAUUUUUCUCCCUCCCCAACUUUACCACGAAG
rnacentral:lncRNA from 1 species